CCAAGCCAUUAAGGGCACAUGGUGAAUGCCUUGGCGUCAAGAGGCGAUGAAAGACGUGGAAACCUGCGAUAAGCCCCGAGGAGCUGGUAAACAAGCAUCGAUCCGGGGAUUUCUGAAUGGGGCAACCCGGCCCGUAAGGGUCAUCAUCAACUGAAUGCAUAGGUUGAUGAAGCAAACCCAGCUAACUGAAACAUCUAAGUAGCUGGAGGAAAAGAAAGCAAACGCGAUUCCGUCAGUAGCGGCGAGCGAAAGCGGAACAGCCCAAACCAGGCUUCGGCCUGGGGCACCGGAAUCAAAGUUGAGUUGCUGUGAGCGUGCUGGAAAGUGCGACCAAAGAAGGUGAUAGUCCUGUAGCAGCGACAAAGCAGAGAGGGUGCACAGAGUAAUGUCGAGCCCGUGAAACUCGGCAUGAACAUGCGGGGCCCACCCCGUAAGGCUAAAUACUACUUGACGACCGAUAGUGAAUCAGUAAGGCGACUGAAUGGUGAAAACAACCCCGACGAGGGGAGUGCAAUAGUAGCUGAAACCAUGUGCUUACACAGCGGUCGGAGCCCGCAAGGGUGACGGCGUGCCUUUUGCAUAAUGAGCCGGCGAGUUAUCCUUUGUGGCAAGGCUAAGCCUCAACGAGGCGGAGCCGCAGCGAAAGCGAGUCUUAAACGGGCGCGAAGUCGCAAGGGAUAGACGCGAAACCAGGUGAUCUACCCAUGGCCAGGCUGAAGGAAGGGUAAGACCUUCUGGAGGGCCGAACUCACCGUCGUUGAAAAGACGGGGGAUGAGCUGUGGGGAGGAGUGAAAGUCUAAUCAUACCUGGAGAUAUCUCGUUCUCUCCGAAAUAGUUUUUGGGCUAGCCUCGCGUUACACCCGGUGGGGGUAGAGCACUGAAUGAGACUUGGGUCCGCAAGGAUACCAGUCCCAAUCAAACUCCGAAUACCAUCGGUCUCUGUCGCGGGAGUCAGUCUGCGGGUGAUAAUAUCCGUGGUCAAAAGGGGAACAACCCAGACCACCGGCUAAGGUCCCUGAAUCCGUCUAAGUUAUUAAGGUAGUCGAAUCGCUCAGACAGCCAGGAUGUUGGCUUAGAAGCAGCCAUCAUUUAAAGAGUGCGUAACAGCUCACUGGUCGAGGGAUUCGGCGCCGAUAAUGAUCGGGAAUUAAGACGGAUACCGAAGCCGUGGACUCGCCUUGUGCGAGUGGUAGGAGAGCGUUCCUGUCAGCGUUGAAGCGAUCCCGGAAGGGUUCGUGGAGCGGCAGGAAGUGAAUAUGCCGGCUUGAGUAACGAUAAAGCGGGUGAAAAUCCCGCUCCCCGAAAGUCUAAGGUUUCCUGGGGAAGGUAAAUCCGCCCAGGGUUAGCCGGAUCCUAAGGCGAGGCCGAAAGGCGUAGUCGAUGGACAGCAGGUUAAUAUUCCUGCGCACUGGCGUGCGGUUGAAGCGACGCGACGGAUCUCUUAGCUCAGCAGGACGGCUAGAAAUGUCCGGGCCCUUCGGGGCCCUGCUGGGGGCGGAGGUUCCAAGAAAAGCCGUUCGUGGACAAUCGCCAGUUCCGUACUAAAACUGACACAGGUAGACGUGGUGAAUAACCUCAGGGGCUCGAGAGAACGGUUGUGAAGGAACUAGGCAAAUUGACCCCGUAAGUUCGCGAUAAGGGGGCCCUCCUCCGUUCCAGGAGAGGGCGCAGAGAAAAGGCUCUGACGACUGUUUAUCAAAAACACAGCACUGUGCUAACUCGCAAGAGGACGUAUACAGUGUGACGCUUGCCCAAUGCCGGAAUGUUAAAGAAGUAGGUUAGCCGCAAGGCGAAGCUUGCAACUGAAGCACCGGUCAAUGGCGGCCGUAACUAUGACGGUCCUAAGGUAGCGAAAUUCCUUGUCGGGUAAGUUCCGACGUGCAUGAAUAGCGUAACGAUUGGAGCACUGUCUCCACAACCGACUCGGUGAAAUAGUAGUGGCGGUGAAGAUGCCGCCUACCCGCGGCAAGACGGAAAGACCCCGUGGACCUUUACUGUAGGCUAAUAUUGGUCACGAGCCUGUUCUGCGUAGGAUAGGUGGGAGGCUUUGAAAUUCCGGUUCAGGCCGGGAUGGAGCCACCCUUGAAAUACCACCCUGAAUUCGUUUGUGACCUAACCUCGACUCCCGUGAAGCCGGGCGAGGGACAGUGUUUGCUGGGCAGUUUGACUGGGGCGGUCUCCUCCCAAAUCGUAACGGAGGAGCACAAAGGUUGGCUCAGUACGGUUGGAAACCGUACGUCGAGUGCAAGGGCAUAAGCCAGCUUUACUGCGAGACAUACUCGUCGAGCAGUUGCGAAAGCAGGUCCUAGUGAUCCAGCGAUCCCGAGUGGAAGGGUCGUUGCUCAACGGACAAAAGGUACCCCGGGGAUAACAGGCUGAUCGCUCCCGAGCGUCCACAGCGGCGGAGCGGUUUGGCACCUCGAUGUCGGCUCAUCACAUCCUGGGGCUGAAGGCGGUCCCAAGGGUUUGGCUGUUCGCCAAUUAAAGUGGUACGCGAGCUGGGUUCAGACCGGCGUGAGCCAGGUCGGUCCCUAUCUGCCGUGGGCGUUGCAAUAUUGAGAGGAGUCUUCUUCAGUACGAGAGGACCUGGAAGGAGCCACCCCUGGUGCGCCUGUUGGCACGCUCGUGCCAUCGCAGGGUAGCUAAGUGGCGCAGGGAUAACCGCUGAAAGCAUCUAAGCAGGAAGCCCCCCUCGAGAUUAAUAUUGCUGGCGUAAGCGAGAGACCCCCGGAAGACCACCGGGUUGAUAGGCCGCAAGUGUAAGGGUCGAAAUACCUUCAGCUGAGCGGUACUAACGGUCGAAGGCCUGGUCAU
rnacentral:rRNA from 1 species